UGCCCAGUUGUCUUGUCAGGAUACUUUCUCGCACAUUCAGUGCGCUUCAAUGAGAUUUCAUCUGUUACACACUGGGCAGAUUAAAUGUCAAUCUCGCUGCCCUUUGCCCUUGGGUUUUGGGGUCGGUGGACUCCGUUUUGGAGUUUGCCAUGAGAUACGACGUUGUUUCAAAAUGAGUUGAGGCUGCCCCUGAUUUUACAUCUUGGGCUUCGUGGCAGUCUUUUUAGUACUGAUUCAUACAUUU
rnacentral:snoRNA from 1 species